UACGGGGGGGGCAAGCGUUGUUCGGAAUUACUGGGCGUAAAGGGCGCGUAGGCGGCCUACUAAGUCGGACGUGAAAUCCCCGGGCUCAACCCGGGAACUGCGUCCGAUACUGGAAGGCUUGAAUCCGGGAGAGGGAUGCGGAAUUCCAGGUGUAGCGGUGAAAUGCGUAGAUAUCUGGAGGAACACCGGUGGCGAAGGCGGCAUCCUGGACCGGCAUUGACGCUGAGGCGCGAAAGCCAGGGGAGCAAACGGG
rnacentral:rRNA from 1 species